GUAGCUGCGAGCGAACAGGGAAAAGCCCAGCACCGAAUCCCGCGGCCGAUAUCGGGCGCCGGGAAAUGUGGUGUUCGGGAGGGUCCAUUAUCCCGAGAUUACGCGGCGCGUCCAAGUCCUUCUUGAACGGGGCCACAGCCCAUAGAGGGUGCCAGGCCCGUAGUGACCGCCGCUGAUCGCGGGAGGAUCUCUCCUCAGAGUCGGGUUGCUUGAGAGUGCAGCCCUAAGCGGGUGGUAAACUCCAUCUAAGGCUAAAUAUGACCACGAGACCGAUAGCGAACAAGUACCGUGAGGGAAAGUUGAAAAGCACUUUGAAGAGAGAGUUCAAGAGUACGUGAAACCGUUUAGGGGUAAACCUGAGAAACCCGAAAGGUCGAAGGGAGAAAUUCAUUCGCGUUUCGUCGCAGGCGUCGGACGGGGUCGAGUGACGGAGAGCGUUCGCGCUUCUCGCGCCCUCCGUCCGACGAACCGGUAACGAACGCGUGCACUUUUCUCCUGGUAGGACGUCGCGAUCCGUUGGGUGUCGGUCUACGGCUCGCGGUGGAGUCCGUUCGUACGUCUCACGACGUACGGGCGGACCCGCGUGUCCCGGCUGACUCGCUCGACGGUAUAAGAAUGGUUUAAGGCCGCUCUCGGAGCGUUCGGCUCGCGGCAAGCGCGCUAGUUGCGUCGGCAAUCGGACCCGGUGCCGAUUCUGACCUCUAGUGACUGUUGGCCGUGAAGUUCUCGAACAGACCUUCUCUUAAAAACCGAUCUGCGACGCUAUAGCUUUGGGUACUUUCAGGACCCGUCUUGAAACACGGACCAAGGAGUCUAGCAUGUGCGCGAGUCAUUGGGAAUCGCUAAACCUAAAGGCGCAAUGAAAGUAAAGGUCCCCCUCGCGGGGACUGAGGGAAGACGGGCGGUUUCACCCUUAAAAGUGGCCGCUCCGCACUCCCGGGGCGUCUCGUUCUCAUCGCGAGAAGAGGCGCACCAAGAGCGUACACGCUGGGACCCGAAAGAUGGUGAACUAUGCCUGGUCAGGACGAAGUCAGGGGAAACCCUGAUGGAGGUCCGUAGCGAUUCUGACGUGCAAAUCGAUCGUCGGAACUGGGUAUAGGGGCGAAAGACUAAUCGAACCAUCUAGUAGCUGGUUCCCUCCGAAGUUUCCCUCAGGAUAGCUGGCGCUCGUCGCGCACGAGUCUCAUCCGGUAAAGCGAAUGAUUAGAGGCAUUGGGGUCGAAACGACCUCAACCUAUUCUCAAACUUUAAAUGGGUGAG
rnacentral:rRNA from 1 species